rnacentral:tRNA from 1 species
CGGGUCAUAGCUCAGCUUGGUCAGAGCGCGGCGUUUGGGGCGCCGAAGUCGCAGGUUCAAAUCCUGCUGACCCGA